rnacentral:rRNA from 1 species
UACGUAGGGAGCGAGCGUUGUCCGGAUUCAUUGGGCGUAAAGAGCUCGUAGGCGGCUUGGUAAGUCGGAUGUGAAACCUCCAGGCUCAACCUGGAGUCGUCAUCCGAUACUGCCAUGGCUAGAGUCCGGUAGGGGCCCACGGAAUUCCUGGUGUAGCGGUGAAAUGCGCAGAUAUCAGGAGGAACACCGAUGGCGAAGGCAGUGGGCUGGGCCGGCACUGACGCUGAGGAGCGAAAGCGUGGGGAGCGAACAGG